rnacentral:rRNA from 1 species
AGAGUUUGAUCCUGGCUCAGAACGAACGUUGGCGGCGUGGAUUAGGCAUGCAAGUCGAACGAAUCCCAAGGGUGUAGCAAUACACCUGAGGGGGAAGUGGCGAAAGGGGCAGUAAGGCGUGGGUAACCUACCCCGGGGACCGGGAUAGCCUUUCUAACGAGAGGGUAAUACCGGGCGAUCUGGUUCAGGGGCAUCUCUGGACCAGGAGAUGAAUUUCGCCUCGGGAGGGGCUCACGUGGUAUUAGCUAGACGGCGAGGUAACGGCUCACCGUGGCAAAGAUGCCUAGCGGGUGUGAGAGCACGACCCGCGCCACUGGCACUGAGACACUGGCCAGACUCCUACGGGAGGCUGCAGUCGAGGAUCUUCGGCAAUGGGCGCAAGCCUGACCGAGCGACGCCGCGUGCGCGAUGAAGGCCUUCGGGUUGUAAAGCGCUGUCGAGGGGGAGGAAGACCCGAAAGGGUUUGACCUAUCCCUGGAGGAAGCACGGGCUAAGUUCGUGCCAGCAGCCGCGGUAAGACGAACCGUGCGAACGUUGUUCGGAAUCACUGGGCUUAAAGGGCGCGUAGGCGGGCCUCCCAGUCCGGGGUGAAAGCUUUCGGCUUAACCGGAAAAGUGCCUUGGAUACUGGAGGUCUUGAGGGAGGUAGGGGCAGCCGGAACUUCCGGUGGAGCGGUGAAAUGCGUUGAUAUCGGAAGGAACGCCGGUGGCGAAAGCGGGCUGCUGGAUCUCUACUGACGCUGAGGCGCGAAAGCCAGGGGAGCGAACGGGAUUAGAUACCCCAGUAGUCC